GAUGAACGCUAGCGACAGGCUUAACACAUGCAAGUCGAGGGGCAUCACGGGAGUAGCAAUACAACUGGUGGCGACCGGCGCACGGGUGAGUAACGCGUAUGCAACCUACCUAUCAGAGGGGAAUAACCCGGCGAAAGUCGGACUAAUACCGCAUAAAACAGGGGCACCGCAUGGUGAUAUUUGUUAAAGAAAUUCGCUGAUAGAUGGGCAUGCGUUCCAUUAGGUAGUUGGUGAGGUAACGGCUCACCAAGCCGACGAUGGAUAGGGGAACUGAGAGGUUGGUCCCCCACACUGGUACUGAGACACGGACCAGACUCCUACGGGAGGCAGCAGUGAGUAAUAUUGGUCAAUGGGCGGGAGCCUGAACCAGCCAAGUCGCGUGAAGGAAGAAGGAUCUAUGGUUCGUAAACUUCUUUUGCAGGGGAAUAAAGUGCAGGACGUGUCCUGUUUUGUAUGUACCCUGAGAAUAAGGAUCGGCUAACUCCGUGCCAGCCGCCGCCGUAA
rnacentral:rRNA from 1 species